UCCAGACUCCUACGGGAGGCAGCAGUGGGGGAUAUUGCACAAUGGGGGGAACCCUGAUGCAGCGACGCCGCGUGGGUGAAGGAGUAUUUCGGUAUGUAAAGCCCUAUCGGCAGGGAAGAAGCAAGACGGUACCUGACUAAGAAGCCCCGGCUAACUACGUGCCAGCAGCCGCGGUAAUACGUAGGUGGCAAGCGUUAUCCGGAUUUAUUGGGUGUAAAGGGCGUGUAGGCGGGAAAGCAAGUCAGAUGUGAAAUCCGGGGGCUCAACCCCUGAACUGCAUUUGAAACUGUCGUUCUUGAGUACUGGAGAGGUUGACGGAAUUCCUAGUGUAGCGGUGAAAUGCGUAGAUAUUAGGAGGAACACCAGUGGCGAAGGCGGUCAACUGGACAGCAACUGACGCUGAGGCGCGAAAGCGUGGGGAGCAAACAGGAUUAGAUACCCUUGUAA
rnacentral:rRNA from 1 species